rnacentral:lncRNA from 1 species
UCCAUUCAUUCAUACAAAACCGUUUACAAACACAUACAAAGAAAAUUAUAAAAAAAAUGCUUCUUUGAACAAAGGUUGACUUUGGCUAACAAUUGACUUUUUGGUCAACUUUGACCAAAGUCAACCAUUUAAGACUUAAGACCUAACUCUAACUUCUUCAUCCAUCAUCCUCAUGAUCAUGUGCUUUUAAGCUUCAUGCCAAUUUUCUUCCAUGCCAUGCCACUUUCUCUUUGCACAUGAAUACCUUAAAAGGGCAAAACAAAGCCAUAAGUAUUGUCUUCAAGUUUAAAACAUGACUUUCCAAGGCAACCAUGACAUGUCAUUCAAUGGCAAUGUAAUAUCAACACCAUUGAUUUAGUAGUAGUAACAUUGACAUAGCUUAACAUUUUAACAAACUCAUAACAUUCAUUUCAUAACCAUCCUUGAAUUUGCUACCACUAACUUUUUCUUAACAUGAACAAACCAUUUCCAAUUUAUAACUAUGCAUGGACCAAAGCAAAUCGAAACUAACAAUUAAUCAUAAUUUCAGUUUUCAUAAUAAUGCAUUCAUCAACCAUUCCAAAACAUGACAAGUGCACCAAAACUAGGAACCAAAAGACUUCAAAAUCGCAAAUAAAGUUUCUAUGUGAUUACCUUACCACUAAGCUUGGGGAUUUUUUUGCCUUCUACUAUUGCUGCCCCUUUCAACAUAAUGUAUAUCCGUGGACUUCAUCAUUCAACAAUGUAUGAAUCACUAGUUCCAUGACCUACUGUCAGAAUCAAACAGAGAAAGCAAUUUAGCAUGAUCAUUACCAUCAUUUUCAUAGAAUUUUAGUCAUGACAAGAAUCAUGUUAGGGUUUCUAAUUUGCUAGCAGCAUUUAACAAGAACAACAGUUAAUUCGGUAUCUCAAUGCAGAGCUAAACCAACUCACUUCAGACCCAUAACAAAGUCAAUUAAUCACCAAAAACUAACUUCUAAUUUAACUAAUUCUGAGUUACAUGUCAACCUACCUACUAACCAAUUAACCAAUACCUACUGGAGUUCCACAUAACUGACAUAUUGACCUACAAAUAAACUAAUAUUAAUCAGUUUUCUAAUUGAACUAACAAGCUCAAACACUAACCCUACAGAACCAAUGGAUGAAAUAUAACAGAAAAUUCAAAAGAUUUCCAACGACACAUUCAUGUAACAAGGCUCAUUGCAGCUCACCAUUAGUUAACCUGGGUGUAGCGAUACAUAAUCUUUUCAUCCUAACCUAAACUAACUUAUUCCAAUUGCAAAUAACAGAAAUCCUGAAUUUAUAACUAACAUUACAUUUCAUGUGAAUUUCAUCUAAAUUUCUGACAUGCUUGGGGCUCUAUAUAAGCGUACCUUCACUGUAAUUUUGGGAGGGGAUUCAUUAUUCAGAUUUCAUUUCAAACUCUUCCAAAAGCUCUGAGAGUUCUGAUUCGUUCUUCACUCUCACUUUUCAUUCAUACAAGCAAAUUGAAUCUUCAGUCUUCUUGGAUUCAUACAUUCACACGCAGAAUCCUCUUCAUACAGGCACCAGAAACACACGAAUCACGUCACAUCAAAGGGAGAUCGAAGAAGAUUCAAGAAGAAGGAAUCGAAGACGAAUGAUUACCUCGUGGAGCACCGAGAAGCCGCUGUGCUUGAACGCUGCUUCGGUACACUUUAACCUUAUUGAAUUUAUCUCCUACUUGCAUUUCGUUUUGAGUUGGUGAUGGCGUGUUUGAGUUUUGGCGGAUUCUUCACGGCGUGUUCGGAAUUUGAGAUCUGAGCUUCAAUUCAGAUUCACGUAUUCGUUGCAACCUUCAACGAUUUGGAAAACUCAGGAGUAUGUUCUUUGAUUUGGAGUUUCAUAACUUGAAUCCAGAAUGCGAAGGAGAAUGAAGAACGCGAUGCUGAAUAUUGGAACGUGAUACUGACUUUUUCAUAUGAGCGCCUUUGUUCUUCAGCUUGGUGAACUUUCCCAUUUUGUAGCUUGGAUUAGGUUUGGUCCUAAGGCUUAAACGAUUUGUUCUAUGCACACACUUGCCAUGGACCUACAACUCCCUAGAGCGACCGCGCUUGGCUGGACAUGUGGCCCAUUCUGAAUCCCUCAUGGAACCCCUUUUUUGGCAACUGUUCAGCGCUUGGGCUUUGAGCUCCAGGCCCAAACGUUUUUGCUGGCUAACACCCACAUUCCAAACGCAU